AUGUAAUGUGUUAGGUAAAAACAGUCAUCAGGCCUAAUAAGUAAACAAAUGAAUGGGAAACCUAUGAAGCUUGGUGGAAAAGCCGUUCAACAUUACAUUAACACUCAAUAUAUCAAAUCAAAUUAAUUGCUGACAGCUCACCCAAAUAACUACCAACACAUUACCCAUCUCAAUGGUUACACCAUGAAUAUCAUGUGCUUAUGACAAGAAAUAUAAAAAUCACAUUAACAAAACUCAGAGGGUUUCACCAGCGGACCGGAUAACCGUAUUUGCCUCCAUUAUGGAAACAUCCUUUUCAAGUGUAUCUUCAUCCACCAACCAACACCAUUACCACCGUUGCCUCCUCAUCACCCUCUCAAUAGACUGGCUCAAUUCAAUAAAGAAGAGGACUAAAUUGACUUUACACUGAUUUUGUAAAGAUGCUGCUGUAAACAUGGUAACAACAAGCCAGACUGAUUUAUCCAGAUAUCAGUGAUUCAGUCAUUGUCAACAUUUCGCCACACCAAUCAGCUUCUUCUCAAUGGAACAGAUGAUUCACACAAUUGAACUUAUCAAAUAAUAAGCAACUUAUUAAUCAAAAAAACUGUUCACAUACAGUUUCAACCAUUUACAAGUAACAAACCAACAAAUGGAUUCGCUGAUUCGCCUCAUUUUUAUCCUAAAUACAGUUUCCUCAUCUUUCAUCCUUCAUCUUUCAAUUUUACCAUUUACAAAUGGUUAUUACAAUCACUAAUCCCUCCAUUUUUGAUCCGAUUUACAAGUAAUUUAAUGCUAAUCAGAAAUGUUAUUUCGCCUUCCAUCAUUCAAUCCUUCAAUGUAUCUCCUGUCAAGAGAUGCUAAUUUGACCCUUGUCAUUGCUAAUAAUUAUCAUAACCCACUGCUUAAAACCUUUCCAAUGCUCAAACAAUUGUCACUCCUAGCAAUCAUAUCAGCCUAAUGCAUUGCCAUGGUUAAGCUCAUCUCUAUUAAUACAUGAAAUAGCAAAAACAAGCGUAAAAAACAAUUUCGCUUUAAGAUAUGAACACAAUUUUCCCAUCUCAAUGUAACUCAUGCAAAAUUGAUUAGACUAGGGCUUGUUGAAUGUACACAGAAAUUUUUCCUUUGUCAUCAAAUUGUUCGAGUUUUUUUUCCUCAUCAUCAUCUUUUAAUAUAUUUCAUCUUAUUUCAUCUUGAUUAAUUUCAAUAAGAUUACUUCCAAUUGUUCCUUUUUUCCCUCAUAUUGAAUAGUGUACCUAAAACAUGGAAGGAAACCUUUUAAUUUGAAAAAUAGAUUCUUUACUUGAAAUUAAACUUCAACAAUUGGACUCAGUCAGAAACAGUUUGUACUCUUUGAUUGUUUCACUUGAAGGUAAAGAAAGAUCCUCAGGCAAAAUCAGAUUAAAAUGACUGUUAGAAUUGAAAAUGUUUGAAUCACAAGGAAACAAGCUUGAAACAAUUUACUAACAAUACUUCUAACAAAUCUAAUCAAAAAUACUUUGAAAUGAAAAGAGUUCAAAAUGUUACGUUUUCCUGAUAAAUUACUAUUUCAUAUGAAAUUGCCUUUACAUGUAUUUCAAUCAUUUGUUUCAUUGAAAACAAUAAAUUGUAAACAUAUUUAUGUAAUUCAA